rnacentral:rRNA from 1 species
GAUGAACGCUAGCGAUAGGCUUAACACAUGCAAGUCGAGGGGCAGCACAAGGUAGCUUGCUAUCUGGGUGGCGACCGGCGCACGGGUGCGUAACGCGUAUGCAACUUGCCCUAUACAGGAGGAUAACCCGUCGAAAGACGGACUAAUACUGCGUAUGCUCACAACUUGGCAUCAAGUGGUGAGGAAAGAAAUUCGGUAUAGGAUAGGCAUGCGUCCCAUUAGCUUGUUGGUGAGGUAACGGCUCACCAAGGCAACGAUGGGUAGGGGAACUGAGAGGUUUAUCCCCCACACUGGUACUGAGACACGGACCAGACUCCUACGGGAGGCAGCAGUGAGGAAUAUUGGUCAAGGGGCGCGAGCCUGAACCAGCCAAGUCGCGUGAAGGAUGACUGUCUUAUGGAUUGUAAACUUCUUUUAUACGGGAAUAACAAGAGUCACGGGUGACUCCCUGCAUGUACCGUAUGAAUAAGCAUCGGCUAACUCCGUG